rnacentral:rRNA from 1 species
AGUGAACGCUGGCGGUAGGCCUAACACAUGCAAGUCGAACGGCAGCACAGUAAGAGCUUGCUCUUACGGGUGGCGAGUGGCGGACGGGUGAGGAAUACAUCGGAAUCUACUUUUUCGUGGGGGAUAACGUAGGGAAACUUACGCUAAUACCGCAUACGACCUACGGGUGAAAGCAGGGGAUCUUCGGACCUUGCGCGAUUGAAUGAGCCGAUGUCGGAUUAGCUAGUUGGCGGGGUAAAGGCCCACCAAGGCGACGAUCCGUAGCUGGUCUGCGAGGAUGAUCAGCCACACUGGAACUGAGACACGGUCCAGACUCCUACGGGAGGCAGCAGUGGGGAAGAUUGGACAAUGGGCGCAAGCCUGAUCCAGCCAUACCGCGUGGGUGAAGAAGGCCUUCGGGUUGUAAAGCCCUUUUGUUGGGAAAGAAAAGCAGCAGGUUAAUACCCCGCUGUUCUGACGGUACCCAAAGAAUAAGCACCGGCUAACUUCGUG